rnacentral:rRNA from 1 species
ACGAACGCUGGCGGCGUGCUUCACACAUGCCAGUCGAACGGAAAGGCCCUGCUUUUGUGGGGUGCUCGAGUGGCGAACGGGUGAGUAACACGUGAGUAACCUGCCCUUGACUUUGGGAUAACUUCAGGAAACUGGGGCUAAUACCGGAUAGGAGCUCCUGCUGCAUGGUGGGGGUUGGAAAGUUUCGGCGGUUGGGGAUGGACUCGCGGCUUAUCAGCUUGUUGGUGGGGUAGUGGCUUACCAAGGCUUUGACGGGUAGCCGGCCUGAGAGGGUGACCGGCCACAUUGGGACUGAGAUACGGCCCAGACUCCUACGGGAGGCAGCAGUGGGGAAUAUUGCACAAUGGGCGGAAGCCUGAUGCAGCAACGCCGCGUGCGGGAUGACGGCCUUCGGGUUGUAAACCGCUUUCGCCUGUGACGAAGCGUGAGUGACGGUAAUGGGUAAAGAAGCACCGGCUAACUACGU